rnacentral:rRNA from 1 species
ACGAACGCUGGCGGCAUGCCUCACACAUGCAAGUCGAACGAGACCUUCGGGUCUAGUGGCGCACGGGUGCGUCACGCGUGGGAACCUGCCCUUAGGUUCGGAAUAACUCCCCGAAAGGGGUGCUAAUACCGGAUAAUGUCUUCGGACCAAAGAUUUAUCGCCUUUGGAUGGGCCCGCGUUGGAUUAGCUAGUUGGUAGGGUAAAAGCCUGCCAAGGCGACGAUCCAUAGCUGGUCUGAGAGGAUGAUCAGCCACACUGGGACUGAGACACGGCCCAGACUCCUACGGGAGGCAGCAGUGGGGAAUAUUGGACAAUGGGCGAAAGCCUGAUCCAGCAAUGCCGCGUGAGUGAUGAAGGCCUUAGGGUUGUAAAGCUCUUUUACCCGGGAUGAUAAUGACAGUACCGGGAGAAUAAGCUCCGGCUAACUCCGUG